GAAUAGUUGGCGUAGAGUAGCGUGUAUGAUUUCGGGUCAUAAGGGGGAUAUAGAUUUACUAUUUA
rnacentral:tRNA from 1 species